UGAAUCACUUUUGAAGAAUGCUGCUGCAACAUGUUUCGGGAAAAUAGCCUUUCUUUCCAGACCUGGGUGUUAAAGCAUUACAGAGUUAUCAUGAGUUAUGGGGACCUUUGACUGGACAUGAGGUAGAGGGACUGUUGUGUGGUCAGCGUGAUUUCUACAGUCCCAGUGACACGGGCUGUACACUUUUAUCACAAGCCAUUAACAAAUCAUGAUUUCUGGCUCCGGCUUCCUUACCUGGAAAGCAGAGCUCCAAAUAAUUCCCUGAUCAGAUGGCAUGUGAGCUGUGGUUAUCAUGGAUCCAACAUCAUGAAUGAGCUUCAAAAGGAGUCGCCUUUUCCUUCGAGACUCUCAGCCCCUGUAUAUGUGCGUGUC
ensembl:lncRNA